CACGUAGGCACCAAGCGUUGUCCGGAUUUAUUGGGCGUAAAGAGCUCGUAGGCGGUUCAGUAAGUCGGGUGUGAAAACUCUGGGCUCAACCCAGAGACGCCACCCGAUACUGCUGUGACUUGAGUACGGUAGGGGAGUGGGGAAUUCCUGGUGUAGCGGUGAAAUGCGCAGAUAUCAGGAGGAACACCAGUGGCGAAGGCGCACAUCUGGCCCAAUACUGACGCUGAGGCGCGAAAGCUAGGGGAGCAAACGGG
rnacentral:rRNA from 1 species